UACGGAGGAUCCAAGCGUUAUCCGGAUUUAUUGGGUUUAAAGGGUGCGUAGGCGGCCUGUUAAGUCAGGGGUGAAAGACGGUAGCUCAACUAUCGCAGUGCCCUUGAUACUGACGGGCUUGAAUCAACUAGAGGUGGGCGGAAUGUGACAAGUAGCGGUGAAAUGCAUAGAUAUGUCACAGAACACCGAUUGCGAAGGCAGCUCACUAUGGUUGUAUUGACGCUGAGGCACGAAAGCGUGGGGAUCAAACAGG
rnacentral:rRNA from 1 species